AACACGUAAAGAACCUACCUUAUUGACAGGGACAACUAUUGGAAACGAUAGCUAAUACCUGAUAAGAAAGAAACUCGCAUGAGAGAAGUUCGAAAGUCGGAGCAAUCUGACACUAUAAGAUGGCUUUGCGGUGCAUUAGCUAGUUGGUAGGGUAAAAGCCUACCAAGGCGACGAUGCAUAGCCGACCUGAGAGGGUGAUCGGCCACAUUGGGACUGAGACACGGCCCAGACUCCUACGGGAGGCAGCAGCC
rnacentral:rRNA from 1 species